AGAGAGAGAGAGAGAGAGAGAGAGAGAGAGAGAGAGAAACAGAAAAUAUGAUAAUACUAUGUAAUUAAUCUCUGCCAGGACUAGUGCCACCUUGUCUGUUGAAAUCCGGUAUGGAGUAAGCAUGGUGAUUCUCCCCGUUCAAAUUAUUACCAUCAUCUUCAUCGUCGUCGUCGUUAACAACAACUCCGUUAUUACCGUCGCCAUUUUUAGUACCUUCGGCCUUUAAUCCCUUAUGCUGCGUUUCGUCUGCAACUAUUCUCCUCGCUUUUGCCAUGCAAGAUCCCAUCAUCAGCAAAACGAAAACAAUCGCAAAAACACGCGUCCUACCCAUCCUUUGCAUGUCUGUAUCAAUAUAUAUACACACCUGUCAUUCACAAAUUCAAAUAUAAUCACGAAAAAAAAAACAAAAAAACGAAGCGUUUCAAUAUAAUAUGUAUAUACAUCGAGAUUAUUGAUGACUUACGAACGAGUUUGUGGUGUGAAGAAUGAUCAGUUGUUUGGAAUUA
rnacentral:lncRNA from 1 species